GAGGGCAGAGCUCAGUGGUGGGGCACCUGCUCAGCAUGCAUGAGGUCCUGGGUUCAACCCCCAAUGCCUCCA
rnacentral:tRNA from 1 species